CGCACCCUGCUGUGUGCGUGACGGAGCCGAUGUUUGUUUUGAACCAACACCAAAACAAAGGGAGCCUGGACUCCGCCCGGAGCGGGCAGGCCGCGGAGCACGGCGGAAGCCUUCAACCGGCGGGAGGGCACCCACCUGCCAGGGGCAGGUUUGAAACCAUCGGCGCACGGCACGGUGGGGUUGGA
rnacentral:other from 1 species